AUUGAACGCUGGCGGCAGGCUUAACACAUGCAAGUCGAACGAGUGGCGGACGGGUGAGUAAUGCUUGGGAAUCUAGCUUAUGGAGGGGGAUAACUACGGGAAACUGUAGCUAAUACCGCGUACCAUAGGAUGAGCCCAUGUGGGAUUAGGUAGUUGGUGGGGUAAAGGCCCACCAAGGCGACGAUCUGUAGCGGGUCUGAGAGGAUGACCAGCCACACUGGGACUGAGACACGGCCCAGACUCCUACGGGAGGCAGCAGUGGGGAAUAUUGCGCAAUGGGGGCAAGCCUGACCCAGCCAUGCCGCGUGAAUGAAGAAGGCCUUCGGGUUGUAAAGUUCUUUCAGCGGGGAGGCGUUACCCGAAGAAGAAGCACCGGCUAACUCCGUGCCAGCAGCCGCGGUAAUUC
rnacentral:rRNA from 1 species